rnacentral:rRNA from 1 species
AGUGAACGCUGGCGGUAGGCCUAACACAUGCAAGUCGAACGGCAGCACAGUAAGAGCUUGCUCUUACGGGUGGCGAGUGGCGGACGGGUGAGGAAUACAUCGGAAUCUACUUUUUCGUGGGGGAUAACGUAGGGAAACUUACGCUAAUACCGCAUACGACCUACGGGUGAAAGCAGGGGAUCUUCGGACCUUGCGCGAUUGAACGAGCCGAUGUCGGAUUAGCUCGUUGGCGGGGUAAAGGCCCACCAAGGCGACGAUCCGUAGCUGGUCUGAGAGGAUGAUCGGCCACACUUGAACUGAGACACGGUCCAGACUCCUACGGGAGGCCGCAGUGGGGAAUAUUGGACUAUGGGCGCAAGCCUGAUCCAGCCAUACCGCGUGGGUGAAGAAGGCCUUCGGGUUGUAAAGCCCUUUUGUUGGGAAAGAAAAGCAGCAGGUUAAUACCCCGCUGUUCUGACGGUACCCAAAGAAUAAGCACCGGCUAACUUCGUG